UUUCCUUUCUGAGUGUAGAGCCAAGUGGACUGUUUUGUUUGGGGCGUGUGACCUGAAGCUCGCUCCACAUUGAUUUUAUCCGCUAUUGAUCACAGUUUAUUAUUUACGUUUAAAAAUACCUGAAGUUGGAUUAGGAAGGUUGUUUAAAAUGUUUGGGCCAAGUUUACAGACCUUUAUUGCCCUGGCCACAUCUGCAGUCCUCAUGCCUCCUUGCAGUAUGCCUAAGGCACGUUCACGCAGAAUAGCAGGGACCCUGGGCAUCUUUCUUUUGUUGUUUUUCAGAGCCUCCAGUGCAUUGUUCCCUCCAGUGAGGCCUGGGGCAGGAGUACAGAGCCAGGAUCUGUAUUUGGAGUGUGGCUGCGAGAUCAAGGCCCC
rnacentral:lncRNA from 1 species